UGAGUACACUUUAAAUCCUUUAACAAGGACCUAUUGGAGGGCAAGUCUGGUGCCAGCAGCCGCGGUAACUCCAGCUCCAAUAGCGUAUAUUAAAGUUGUUGCGGUUAAAACGUUCGUAGUUGAACUUGUGCUUCAUACGGGUAGUACAACUAUAAUUGUAGUUUGUACUAUACCUUAUGUAUGUAAGCGUAUUACCGGUGGAGUUCUUAUAUGUAUUAAGUACUUGUAUUUAUGCAUAUUCCUCCUAUUUAAACCUGCUUCAGUGCUCUUCAUCGAGUGUUGUUGUGGGCCGGUACAAUUACUUUGAACAAAUUAGAGUGCUUAAAGCAGGCUCCAAAUGCCUGAAUAUUUUGUGCAUGGAAUAAUGAAAUAAGACCUCUGUUCUACUUUCAUUGGUUUUUAGAUCAAGAGGUAAUGAUUAAUAGAAGCAGUUUGGGGGCAUUAGUAUUACGACGCGAGAGGUGAAAUUCUUGGACCGUCGUAAGACUAACUUAAGCGAAAGCAUUUGCCAAAGAUGUUUUCAUUAAUCAAGAACGAAAGUUAGAGGUUCGAAGGCGAUCAGAUACCGCCCUAGUUCUAACCAUAAACGAUGCCAGCUAGCAAUUGGGUGUAGCUACUAUCAUGGCUCUCUCAGUCGCUUCCCGGGAAACCAAAGCUUUUGGGCUCCGGGGGAAGUAUGGUUGCAAAGCUGAAACUUAAAGGAAUGACGGAAGGGCAC
rnacentral:rRNA from 1 species